GACGAACGCUGGCGGCGUGCCUUAUACAUGCACGUAGAACGCAGUUGCGAACGGGUGAGUAACGCGUAGGUAACUGCCUCAUAGCGGGGGAUAACUAUUGGAAACGAUAGCUAAUACCGCAUACUGUGAGAUGGACCUGAGUUGUAUUAGCUAGUUGGUGAGGUAAAGGCCAAACAAGGCGACGAUACAUAGCCGAUCUGAAAGGGGGAUCGGACACACGGAGACUGAGACACGGACCAGAUUCCUACGGGAGGCAGCAGGAGGGAAACGUAGGCAAUGGACGGAAGUCUGACCGAGCAAAGCCGCGUGAGUGAAGAAGGUGUUCGGAUCGUAAAGCUCUGUUGUUAGAGAAGCGGUAACUAACAAGAAAGGCACGGCUCACUACGAGCCAGCAGCCGCGGUAAUUC
rnacentral:rRNA from 1 species